UAAACAAUUAACUUACAUCAACCACGCCAGGGAAUUACGAGCAAUGCUUAAAACCCAAAGGACUUGACGGUGUCCCACCCACCUAGAGGAGCCUGUUCUAUAAUCGAUGAUCCCCGCUAUACCUAACCAUUCCUCGCCCUUCAGUCUGUAUACCUCCGUCGAAAGCCUACCAUGUGAACGCUUACAGUAGGCCCAAUGAUCCUCAUCCACACGUCAGGUCAAGGUGCAGCUCACGGAACGGAAAGCAAUGGGCUACAAUUUCUAACUUAGAACAAACGAAAGACUAUGUGAAAUCCCUAGUCACGAAGGCGGAUUUAGCAGUAAAAGGAAAAUAGAGUGUUCCUUUUAACUCGGCUCUGGGACGCGUACACAC
rnacentral:rRNA from 1 species